rnacentral:tRNA from 1 species
GCAGGAGUAGAUUUUGCAAUGUACGGGACAUUGGGGGAUAUAUGCAAACGGACUCAAAAUCCGCCGAGGGCAACCUCUUGCGAGUUCAAGUCUCGCUCCCGGUACCA